ACGUAGGGGGCAAGCGUUGUCCGGAUUUAUUGGGCGUAAAGAGCGUGUAGGCGGCCAUACAGGUCAGCUGUGAAAACUCGAGGCUCAACCUCGAGACGUCGGUUGAAACCGUAUGGCUAGAGUCCGGAAGAGGAGAGUGGAAUUCCCGGUGUAGCGGUGAAAUGCGUAGAUAUCGGAAGGAACACCUGUGGCGAAAGCGGCUCACUGGACCAUUACUGACGCUGAGGCACGAAAGCUAGGGGAGCGAACAGGA
rnacentral:rRNA from 1 species